rnacentral:rRNA from 1 species
GAGGCGGUUCUCUAUGAGGCCCGCUAUCGGAAUGAGAACAAUUUAAAUCCUUUAACGAGGAUCUAGCGGAGGGCAAGUCUGGUGCCAGCAGCCGCGGUAAUUCCAGCUCCGCCAGUGUAUAUCAAUGUUGCUGCGGUUAAAAAGCUCGUAGUUGGAUCUGCGUGCUAGGAACCGGUCCGUCCACUGGGCGAGAACUGGUCUCCGGCAUUUUGAUGGCUGGUUUUCCGUUGGUGCUCUUCAUCGGGUGCCUUCGGUGGCUAGCAAUUUUACUUUGAAAAAAUUAGAGUGCUCAAAACAGGCGCAUAGCCUUGAAUAGUGGUGCAUGGAAUAAUAGAAUAGGACUCCGGUUCUGUUUUGUUGGUUUUCGGAACACGAAGUAAUGAUUAAGAGGGACAGACGGGGGCAUUCGUAUUGGUACGUUAGAGGUGAAAUUCUUGGAUCGUAUCAGGACGGACAACUGCGAAAGCAUUUGCCAA